rnacentral:tRNA from 1 species
CGGGGUGUAGCGCAGCUUGGUAGCGCACUUGCUUGGGGUGCAAGGGGUCGUGGGUUCGAAUCCCGCCACUCCGA